rnacentral:tRNA from 1 species
GGCAGGGUAGCUCAGUCAGUUAGAGCGCGGCACUCAUAACGCCGAGGUCGUGGGCGCGCACCCCACCCCUGCUACAA